GUAUCUCAAAAACAUAAUCAUUCAACGUAAGGUAAUCGACAUCUCGUUCUAAUGUGUAAAUGAAAACAUGACCUCAUUCACAUCCAUGUUGUAAUGCCCCAUAAUAAUUUGGAUGAGGUGUCAAUGCAACCUGUCAUACUAAUCAAUUUUAUAGCAUCACUUCUCAACAUAAAGCAACUGGAAUUUCAUUUCCAAUAUAUGUUUAACAUAAAUUCAUC
rnacentral:lncRNA from 1 species